rnacentral:rRNA from 1 species
AUGGAUGCAAUGGCAAGAGAAUUUUGGGAGAUGAAAAGAAUGGAGAUCAUGCUCCGGAGGAAGAUGGAGCUCCAAAAUCUUAUGGCCGGUGGUGGUGUUGGCUUUGGAGGGGGCUUUUCUUUCGGCAAUGGUGGUGGUGGCUUCCGCAUGGGUGGAGGAGGUGGCUUCGCCAUCGGAGGUGGUGGUGACCUCGUCAUGGGUGGUGGUGGCGGUGAUGUUGGCUUCGGCAUGGAAGGUGGUUCUUUUGCAAGGCAAGUGAAUGGUUGUGAUGGUGGUCGUGCUCAAAUCCUCGGUCCAAGUGAAUGGUGGUGA